rnacentral:misc_RNA from 1 species
UUUCCGUAGGUGAACCUGCGGAAGGAUCAUAACUGAGUUUUGAAUGAAGUUGUUCUGGUCUUUCGGGGCAAGUGAACGCUUCUCUCAAUCCAUCUUACACCUGUGCACCUAUCGGGGAAGACUUGGAUCUAAGUUGGGUCACGACGGCGAUCUACAGUCUCCUCUUUAUACCAAAUAACAGUUUUAGAAAGUCUUUUUUGCUUGAUGCAAACUUAAAUAAAUACAACUUUCAGCAACGGAUCUCUUGGCUCUC